rnacentral:rRNA from 1 species
ACACUCCUGCGGGAGGCAGCAGUGGGGAAUUUUGGACAAUGGGCGAAAGCCUGAUCCAGCAAUGCCGCGUGAGUGAAGAAGGCCUUCGGGUUGUAAAGCUCUUUUGUCAGGGAAGAAACGGUGAAAGCUAAUAUCUUUUGCUAAUGACGGUACCUGAAGAAUAAGCACCGGCUAACUACGUGCCAGCAGCCGCGGUAAUACGUAGGGUGCAAGCGUUAAUCGGAAUUACUGGGCGUAAAGCGUGCGCAGGCGGUUUUGUAAGUCUGAUGUGAAAUCCCCGGGCUCAACCUGGGAAUUGCAUUGGAGACUGCAAGGCUAGAAUCUGGCAGAGGGGGGUAGAAUUCCACGUAUAGCAGUGAAAUGCGUAGAUAUGUGGAGGAACACCGAUGGCGAAGGCAGCCCCCUGGGUCAAGAUUGACGCUCAUGCACGAAAGCGUGGGGAGCAAACAGGAUUAGAAACCCCAGUAGUCCCAUGAU